rnacentral:snoRNA from 1 species
AUCUUUUUAUGGUUCAUGAGCAGUAUGAUUGGGUUUUAAUGCCAUUGUGUGAAAUGUAUCUUCCUGAAA